rnacentral:rRNA from 1 species
AGUCUGGUGCCAGCAGCCGCGGUAAUUCCAGCUCCAAUAGCGUAUAUUAAAAUUGUUGCAGUUAAAAAGCUCGUAGUUGAAUUUCUGCUGCAUUGCUUUUGCUCCUUUACGAGUCUUUGCAUUGUGGCUUAUUUCGGACUUUGUUUUACAAUGUCCGGAUGUUUACUUUGAGAAAAUUAGAGUGCUCAAAGCAGGCUUUCGCCUUGAAUAGUUUAGCAUGGAAUAAUAAAGUAGGACUUUGGUUCUAUUUUGUUGGUUUUAGGUACCAAAGUAAUGGUUAAUAGGAACAGUUGGGGGCAUUCGUAUUUAACUGUCAGAGGUGAAAUUCUUAGAUUUGUUAAAGACGAACUACUGCGAAAGCAUUUGCCAAGGAUGUUUUCAUUAAUCAAGAACGAAAGUUAGGGGAUCGAAGACGAUCAGAUACCGUCGUAGUCCUAACCAUAAACUAUGCCGACUAGAGAUUGGAGGUCGUCAGUUUUUACGACUCCUUCAGCACC